UUUUCAAAAUAUAUUUUAUCCAUUCAACGACUCAAGAGGGAAAAUUGAUAGUACGGCAAAAAUAUUGAAAAGGAGCCCAAGCCAAGCCCACUCCAAGGAGUGGUAUUUUGGGAACCUAGGUUCUCAUUUUGGGAUUGGAUCUGAUUUGUCACUCUGUACUCGCUUCUCUCUCUCUGCGAUGAUCAAGUCAAACAACUUCAUGGAAGGAGUGUUUCACAAGAUCAGAAGGCCUAACCUAUGGGAAGUUGAAACUAUAUCAAUUGCUAUGUAGGUACCUAAGAGAAACUUGAACCCCUCGUACUUGCGGGAGCAAACUACAUGGCUAACCAUUUGAGUCACCCUUCUUGGGUACUUGUAAUGGAUGUUUAUAUUUGUCCUUUGAUAUAUACAUCCACAAUAUAUAAAAUUGCUUAGAAUAAGAUUUAGAGUCAGGGCAUAUUGGUACACAUAGAGAGGUUAGUAGUUGAGCGGUUAUGGUGGUUAUUUUGGUUAGGUAAUGUUUGUUAAAGAGUAAUAUAUCAGAGAGGAAAUUUAGGGUGAUGUGAACUGUUUUGUGAAAUUGGGAAUUCUUUAGAAUUUCCCCUUCUAUCUCUCAUUUAUUUCAUUUUUGUAUUGUCUCAGAUUGAAUUUCAAUGAAGAAGGGCUCAAUAAGAAUCCAAGGUUUUCCUAAUUUUCUAGUUCUACCACUAACAAAAUUGUUCUUGUUAGUAAGCAUUAUAGUUUUUAUAUUGGACAGCUUAAGAGAACAUCCCUCACUUUCAGUAGCUGCUGGAAUUAUCAUGUGUCUAAUCUUGUAAAAGUUCUGCCUAAUUCAAACAUCAGGAGGCUGCUGGAAUUAUCACGUGUUUAAUCUUGGUGAUUUGGUGCUCAGUUUUCUUCUAAAUAUGCUAGUAAUAAAGGGUUAAUUCUAGUUCUAUAGUCAUAUUAUGAAAAAAAUACUGAUUGUAUUUUAUUGUUUUUAAUUUAUUAAUAAAGGGUUAAUUCUAGUUCAAUACGUGUAGUUUUAGAUAUGUAAAUGGUUGUGAGAGUUUAUAUGUGUCUGUGGUUUUGCUAAAAUACUUGGUCAUGUAUAUUGUGAGUUGUUACUGUAAUUGUGUCAUAAAUCAUCAGCUUGCCAAAAUGAACUGUAUUAGUACAUUGAGCUUAUUCAUUGUUUGUUCCAACUACAAGUGGCACGUUCCCAAGUUCAUAUGUUCUUCACAGGGUCCAUUAUGGAGAAUAUAUCUCUCUAGUUAUAUAUGCAAAAACUGAAUGUUGGGUGAACAAGAACUCCCUGGUAUGGUCUUUUUUACUGAAGAAUUCUCUGUUGUGGUCUGCCAGCCAAGCUUUGAAGUUUUUCAAGGGAAGAAGUUGGUUGACUGAGAUUUGGGUGCUGGUGGGAGGGAUAGGAGGAAUUCUCUGAAAGGGUUAGUGAAUUAGCAUGGGGAGACACCAAGAUGGAACAAUCACAAACUUCUCCAGUUAUGGAACCAAGUUUGCACAAGAAGCACCAUGAUAAUAUGAUAUUGAUGUAGUAGACUUAUAUGGACAAUAAAGGAAACUAUAUUUACAAACUUUUUUUUGGUAAUAUCUA